rnacentral:rRNA from 1 species
UUGUCCUACGGGGCGCAGCAGUGGGGAAUAUUGCACAAUGGGGGAAACCCUGAUGCAGCGACGCCGCGUGAGUGAAGAAGUAUUUCGGUGUGUAAAGCUCUAUCAGCAGGGAAGAAAAUGACGGUACCUGAUUAAGAAGCCCCGGCUAACUACGUGCCAGCAGCCGCGGUAAUACGUAGGGGGCAAGCGUUAUCCGGAUUUACUGGGUGUAAAGGGAGCGUAGACGGCAGCGCAAGUCUGAAGUGAAAUGCCGGGGCUUAACCCCGGAACUGAUUUGGAAACUGUGCAGCUAGAGUGUCGGAGAG